CCACCUUCUUCUCCCCUACGCAGUCCACCUCUCUGGUUUUUCCCACGGCAGCUGCAGCUCCAGCCAUGGCGUGAGCGCCAUUCCCUGGCCGAGCAGCAGCCCUACGCAGCGCCCUCUCUCCCAUGGACGCCCAGAAAUUUUUCCCUGUGCCCUCCUCUGCAAACAGCGAGCCCCCUCCUCGCUGUUCCCCGUCGAGCCCGCCGGCUGUUCGUAAAAAUGUGCAGCAAGCCGCAUACUGCCGGCUCGCUGUUUCGUGGAGCCCUGUGGACAGCACGCCGUCGACGCCCGCCGUGUGCUCGCUGUUUUGCGCAGCCCAUCCGCGACGCCGUCGAAAACCGUGCUAGUGGUCGACGUCGUGCCUUGCCCGUUCGACGAAAUACCGAGCCAUGUGGACAGCCAUGCGUCUAGUCACGACCCGUUCAGGACCGAGAGAUGGUGAUCGUGCACGUGAUAUGGUGCCAACCACAGGAUGCCGUUGGUGGACGACCCAAGGAAGGAUGGACUUAACCACUGGAUGCUCGCCAAGCGAGUACCCACCCCAGCAAACACUAU